CCUACGGGAGGCUGCAGUGAGGAAUAUUGGUCAAUGGUCGGGAGACUGAACCAGCCAAGCCGCGUGAGGGAUGAAGGUACAGAGUAUCGUAAACCUCUUUUGUCAGGGAACAAAGGCGGGGACGUGUCCCCGGAUGAGUGUACCUGAAGAAAAAGCAUCGGCUAACUCCGUGCCAGCAGCCUCGGUACUACGGAGGAUGCGAGCGUUAUCCGGUUUUCUUGGGUUAAAAGGGUGCGCAGGCGGUCUGUUAAGUCAGCGGCCAAAGCCCGGGGCUCAACCCCGGCCCGCCGUUGAAACUGGCAGUCUCGAGUUGGAGAGAAGUAUGCGGAAUGCGCGGUGUAGCGGUGAAAUGCAUAGAUAUCGCGCAGAACUCCGAUUGCGAAGGCAGCAUGCCGGCUCCACACUGACGCUGAGGCACGAAAGCGUGGGUAUCGAACAGGAUUAGAUACCCUUGUAGUC
rnacentral:rRNA from 1 species